AUUGAACGCUGGCGGCAGGCUUAACACAUGCAAGUCGAGCGAGCGGCGGACGGGUGAGUAAUGUCUGGGAAACUGCCUGAUGGAGGGGGCUAACGACUGGAAACGGUAGCUAAUACCGCAUACCAUCAGAUGUGCCCAGAUGGGAUUAGCUAGUAGGUGGGGUAAUGGCUCACCUAGGCGACGAUCCUUAGCUGGUCUGAGAGGAUGAGCGGCCACCCGGGAACUGAGAAACGGCCCAGACUCCUACGGGAGGCAGCAGUGGGGAAUAUUGCAAAAUGGGCGCAAGCCUUAUGCAGCCAUGCCGGGUGUGUGAAGAAGGCCUUCGGGUUGUAAAGCACUUUCAGCGGGGAGGCGUUACUCGCAGAAGAAGCACCGGCUAACUCCGUGCCAGCCGCCGCGGUAAUAC
rnacentral:rRNA from 1 species